ACAGUAUAGGAAACAUUUGAAAUCAUCCAAUUCAUAAGUCGAGACCUUUUGAUCCUAGCUUCGACCGCUGACGAUCCUUAACUCUCAGAAAUUCUCUUGAGUAGAACACUUAGGAUCAGCCGGUUCUAACUUCGGCCUCAUCCCAUUUUGAUAUCAAGCUCGUCUCAACCACUAUGACAACUGACAUCUAACAUCUGUCCAGCAUUUAUAGACAACUGGACACCUGAAUUGGUCGAUCUCUGACUUCAGCCACA
rnacentral:lncRNA from 1 species